CUCGAACCCAGGCCGCACGCAUGCCAGCCUAUUCUGUUUCUUUGGAGAACCCUGACGCACAAGACCCUCAAUUGACAGGGAAGAGAGAAUGGAAUUGGAGGAGCAUGAAAGAGAAGGUUUGAGACUACAUUUUGCAGAGAGUGGGGGUGAAUGAACUGCAGCUGUGGAAAUGAUAAACCAUGCCCAACAUGGAAAGUGCACUACGUAUAGGAAGAUUGGAUUUGCAACUUUUCUAACACCCAGCAGGCUGCCUUAGCUGGACUGUUCACAGCACCUCUGAAAUGCCCACCUUUCCCCACAGAGUAAGGUGACACCUUGAAAUCCCAUUAGCUAUGUGUUCAGGAAGAGGACAAGGACUUAAAUAUCAGCCUUCAGGAACUGUUCUUUUUGUUGUUGUUUGCUUA